rnacentral:rRNA from 1 species
UACAGAGGGGGCAAGCGUUUAUUCGGAAUUAUUGGGCGUAAAGGGCGCGUAGGCGGCUUGGCAAGUGGAUGGUGAAAUCCCUCGGCUUAACCGAGGAACGGCCGUCCAAACUGCUUCGCUUGAGACCGGGAGAGGUGAGUGGAAUUCCCAGUGUAGCGGUGAAAUGCGUAGAUAUUGGGAGGAACACCAGUGGCGAAGGCGGCUCACUGGACCGGUACUGACGCUGAAGCGCGAAAGCGUGGGGAGCAAACGGG